rnacentral:lncRNA from 1 species
GAGUUAAUGGGUGGGGUUUAGGAUUUAGGGUUUAGGGUUUAGGAUUUAGGGUUUAGGGUUUAGGGUUUAGAGUUUAGAGUUUAGGUGCGGGGUUUAGGGUUUAGGGUUUAGAGUUAAGGGGUGGGGUUAGGAUUUAGGGUUUAGGAUUUAGGGUUUAGGAUUUAGAGUUUAGGGGUGAGGUUUAGGGUUUAGGGUUUAGGAUUUAGAGUUAAGGGGUGGGGUUUAGGAUUUAGGGUUUAGGAUUUAGGGUUUAGAGUUUAGAGUUGGGGAGUGGGGUUUUGGGAUAAGAUUUCAAAUUUUGAAAAAUAAAAAAAAAUUUAAAAUUUUCAAAAGCUAAAAUGCUAUUUUGGUCAUUUUAGUUUUUGAGGGCUAUUUUUGUGACAUAAACUUAGAAAUGUGAUAUUUUGGAGAUUUGCCCAAAAUUUUAU